UUAACCUUUAUUUUUUCAUUCACAUUUUUUAUUUUUUGCUCCAUUUGUAUUCAUUUGUUCACUCAUGCAUUUAGGCACCUAUUGAAUAAAUACUUUUCAAGUGUUCCCUAUCUGCCAUGUAUUGUUCUAGGUGCCAUGAAUACUAACUAAAUAAGACAAGCAAGAUUCCUACCCCACAGAGCUUAUAGUCUAAGAAGGGUGGAGGUUAUAUGAAGUUAGAUUCAAUUGUCAUAUAAAUAAAUAAGAUAAAUGGAGAUAAUAAUAAGUUACAUGAACAAUAAAACUGGGUAAUGUGUUGAAGAAGGACUGGUUGGGGGAGUAUUUUAGAUUGAAUAGUCUGAGAUUAUGUGACAAAUAAAUAGUGAUUGGUUGAAUGAAUGAAUGAGUGGUUAGGGAAGAUACAUGAUAAAAGGUAGCAUAUGAUAAAUGUAAUGGUAAGAUUUGAAAUAAAGUCCUCUAUAGUCAUAAUAAAGGAAAAUAUACAACUGAAAAAAAAUUUUAAAUGUCCUUGAAGCUAGAUAGGGUUUUGAUAGAUGAAGAUGGUAGGGUAAGGGCAUUGUUGGCUGAGAAAAUAAAAUGAGUAAGAGGAAAAGCAAAAGGGAACACCCACUGUGUCCAGUCAAGGGAAUGAAGAACAGAGGAAUGGAGGAAGGAUAAGGGGAAACAGCUAUUUGGAAGCAGAGAAAACAAAUUGAGGCCAGAUCAUGGUGGGCCUUAAAUACCAUGAAACAAGUUUUAAUUAAAAAAUUUUUUUUUCAGGCUAAGGCUUGAAAAGACAUUUGUCUAAAGAUGAUAUACAAAUGACCAACAACAUAUGAAAGGAUGCUCAAUAUCACUAAUCAUGAGAGAAAUGCAAAUCAAAACUACAGUGAGAUAUCACAUCAUACUCAUUAGAUUGACUCCUAUACAGAAAGUAGAAAAUAACAAGUGCUGGUAAGGAUGUGGAGAAAUUGGAGCCCUUGUGCACUGUUAGUAGGACUGUAAAAUAGUGCAGCAGCUAGGAAAAACAGGAUGGAGAUUCUACACACACACAAAUAAAAACUCAGCAAUUCACUUCUAGGUAUAUAUCCAAAAGAACUGAAAACAUGGUCUCAAAGAGAUAAUCGUACAACCAUAUUCACACAGCACUAUUCACAAUAGCCAAGAGGCUGAAGCAACCCAAGUAAAUGAUUAGGCAAAAUAUGGUAUAUACAUGUACAGGACUGUUAUUCAGCUUUAAAAAGGAAGGAAGUUCUAUCACAUGCUACAACAUGGGGGAAUCUUGUGGACAUUAUGCUAAAUGAAAUAAGCCAGUCACAAAAAAGCAAAUACUGUAUAAUUCCACUUAUAUAAUGUAUCCAAAGUUGUCAAAUUCAUAGAAACAAAGUAGACUGGUGGUUAGUUGGAACUAGGGGUUGGAGAAAAAGGAGAGUUUAAUGGACAUAGAGUUUCAGAUCUGCCAGAUAAAGUUCUGAACAUCUGCUUCAUAACAAUAUGAAUAUAGUUAACAUUACUGAACUGUACACAUAAAAAUGUUAAAGAUGGUAAAUUUUAUGUUAUGUGUUUUUUACCAAAAUAAAAAAGAAUUCAGUAACUUAAGUCCUCAAAAUAUUUAUGCUGCUUUGUAAUAAACUUCUAAGGGGUUGUGUGUGUAUAUGUGUAUGUGCAUGUGCAUGUGUGUAUGUGUGUCAGGUUGUAAAAUAUAUGUAUAGAAGGUCCCUGCCUUAUGAGAGUUUGACCUACGAUUUUUCAACUUUGCCAUUGUGUGGAAGUGAUAUGCAUCCAGUAGAAACUGUACUUCCAGUUUCCAAUUUUGAACUUUGAUCUUUUCCUGGGCUAGAGAUAUGCAGUAUGAUACUCUCUUGCACUGCUAGGCAGCAUCAGUGAGCCUCAGUUCCCAGUCAGCCACUGAUCAGAAGGGUAAACAACUAAUACUCUACAGUGCACUAUGAUGCUAGAUGAUUUUGCCCACCUGUAGGCUAAUGUAAUGCAACCGAGCACAUUUAAGGUAGGCGAGACUAAACUAUGAUGUUUGGCAGGUUAGGUAUAUUAAAUGUACUUUUGAUUCAUGAUAUUUUCAACUUACUAUGUGUUUAUCAAAAUGUAACCCCCUCUUAGGUCAAGGAGCAUCUGUAGCUGCUUGGAUCUACAUUAACCUCAUUUAUCUAUACCCUACCUAUGUGAGUCUUGGAAACUUGUCUCAUAUAAACAAUGAGCUAGCCUAAAAAAGGGGACUUUGACAAUUGCUUCAUCGGUCUUUGUCACUCUGGAAAUAUCAGCAUCUGCAUGUUGAAAAAGGUCUCAUUAUAUUAGCUUUCCAUAAGCUGUCACCUGAUUAUAAGACCUCUUUUGCACCUUCCCAGAACUUUCCUGCUAUGUUUAUCUGAGUUUUGUGGUAACAUACGAGACUUACCUUUGAAUGUAUAAAACUGGCUAGUUUUACAUGAUCUGAACUUGAGAAGCGGUUUCUUAGGUUUCAAGACAACAUGCUAAAUACAUAGGACCAUCUACUGGCAAAGGAUGAUAUAGUCCUAAGGACUGGUUUUGUUGGAACUUGUAAUAGCCCAAGUUAAAGAUCAUGAAGAUUGUGAAGCCCAAAAGUGUAUUAUUGAGGGAAUCCUGCUGCCAGAAUAUGCUUAUCACUUAAAUUGCAACAGAGUGGUCUUAGAUAGAAAAUACAAGAGCUGAGAAGAUACUACAAAACAAGUAAGUCAUUUAUAUGGAGUCACAACAUCUAACUGGCAUACAUUUGUUUAAUAUUGAUAUAGUAAAAUAUUUCAUGAGGGCUCUGACAAGGACUGUCUUGUUAAUCUCUGAAUCCCUAGCAUAGCAACUGGUACAUGGAAGUGUCAACAAGUAUUUACUGAAUCAGUGAAUGAAUAAUGACAACCAGGGCCUCAAAACUUUUGAAAAUUUGCCUUAUAUUCUCCCUCUCCCAUAGGACCACACCCAUAAUUUAAAAUAAAAAAAAUACAAAGUGUAACAUAAGUUCCCUUUUUAGAUGAAAAGUGCAUCUAUCUGUUUGGUUAACCAGAAACCUUGAGUCAGUAAAAAUUAUACUUAAUAUUUACGUUAAAAAUAGUAAUAAUGAAAAAUGACCUAAACUAAUUAAAAGAAGGUUAUGUGGACUUGCAUAGGCUUUAUAAUCAAAUAUUGCUCAUGUCAAAUUUCAGCUCUAUAGUUUGGGUAUUGUAUGAGGUUGGAUUAAUUACUUAACCUUUCUCUCCUCAUUUUCCUCUUUUAUUAAAUUAGCAUUUUGUUUAUACCCUACAAAGAUUUGGUGAAGUCUGUAAAUGCAAUGAUUUGUGCCUACUUGGUAAGUACUAAUAAUAAAUCCAGCUGUUGACUUUU